rnacentral:rRNA from 1 species
ACUCCUACGGGAGGCAGCAGUGGGGAAUUUUGGACAAUGGGCGAAAGCCUGAUCCAGCAAUGCCGCGUGUGUGAAGAAGGCCUUCGGGUUGUAAAGCACUUUUGUCCGGAAAGAAAU